UAUAGUAUUAGAAAAGAAUGACGACACAUGAUAAGCUCGCCAUGAAGCUCAUGCCGUCAUGCGCAACUCCUGAAGUCCUAAAACACACUUUCUCUCCCACUCAGAAUCCCCACCGCCAACCAUGAAACCUCCAUUUUUACUCCCUUCGAAUCAUUCAACUCCAGCUCUCCCUUUUAUUCUUCCUCGUAAUUUAACUUCUCCAAUCCUAAAUUCCUCUCCUAACUCCACACUUAUCCUCAAAUCUCGUUAUUUUCCUAUUUCUACCUUCAACCGUCGCAAUUUAUUGACACUUUGUUCUUCCAAUUCUUCCGCUGAAUUGUCGAAUUCCGAUUCGCUCACUGAGAAAUCAUACCAAUUUUUGGAAAUUACGAACCCUAAUGUUUCCCCCUUUUUAUCUUCGUGGCGUUCUAAAUUCAGCUUAAGUGAUCAAGCUUCCUUUCUUUUUACCUUCAUCGCUUGCACGGCUUCUGUGGCUUUUAUCAGCCUUGUUGCUGCAGCUGUUCCUACCUUGUUUGCUAUGAGAAGAGCUGCUAAUUCUUUUGCAAAGCUAGCAGACACUGCUCGGGAGGAGCUCCCCAGUACAAUGGCAGCCAUUAGACUUUCAGGAAUGGAAAUUAGUGAUCUUACUGUAGAACUGAGUGACUUGAGCCAAGAGAUUUCGGAGGGAGUUAAUAAAUCUGUACAAGCAGUUCAAGCAGCCAAACUUGGAAUGCAACAGAUUGGCUCUCUUGCUCAUGAACAGACAAUGUCAAUGAUCGAGGAGAGAGCAAGCCUUCCUGUCAUCUCCUUGCAACCUGUUGUCUCUGGUGCUGCAAAGAAGACCUCUCAUGCUGUUGGCCAUGCUACAAAGACUUUGAUGAAGUUUAUAUCUGGAGUAAGAUCAGCCUCGGAAGAAAAUGAUGAUUUAAUUGACAGAUUGUUUGAAUCUCCAUACCCCUAGAUGGCCAGAAGAAAGGCAUGGAUGGGAGAAGAAACGAGAGGGAUGAAAUGAUUGGUAUUUCUUCCGUUUAUUUACCAAAAACUAAGAGAAUUUGUCAGUGUCUUUUAAAUUUCCCACAUUAAUAAAUUCAAACAUAGGGAAGUGACUUUUUUUCUAAGACAAUUUGUCUUCCACAAUUAAUUGCUAUUUCUUAACAAGUCAAAUUAAUUGUUCAACAAGCUUAAAAUUUUCAGCGAUUCAGCAAAUGUUGACUUGUAACCUGCAUACAAAUUCAGAAAAGAACAGCUCUUUUUAUUUCUAUGUGAAACUGCAUUAUUGUCUACAGUGGUAAAUCUCAACUCUUCAUAGACAAGUAUCAGUUCCUCCGAAACACUAAAUCUCACUGUAAGUUCAAUGCUCGAAACAAAAAGUUCAUAAUGGUAGCAUAGUCCAACUUGAUGAAGAGUCUGCUCAAACCUUUUCUUGAUGUAAAAGUGAAAACCUUGGGGACCCUGAUGCAGGUAAGGAUAAUCUGAAAUUCUGCAUCUUAAUUUACAAAAACAUUUGUGGAUGCAAACUAGCUUUGUUGCUGAAUUCAUGUAAGGGUGGUACCCAUGACCUUGGAACAAAUCCGGUCUUUGGCAUAGUUGCUCAUUUGUCUCUUUACGCCAAGAAAGAAAAAACAUGCAAUAUCAUUUUAUAUGGAACUUUUAGCUAAAUUAAUUGUAAAACUUGUAUAAAUGAUGUAAAGUUUUUUCUAUGGCUUCCGUUAUUGUUCAUUGAUCUUCAUGAUUUUUGUUAAAAAUUUGGUCUCAGUGAUUGAUGUGCAAUUUGCAUGCUCUAUAUGCUUGUUAUACACUAAAAUUUCUGGGCAUUAGGCAUUUUUGAAUUAUUAGUUGGUGGUAACAAGGCAAUGUGGAGAAAUUUAGACGUGCUUUAUUGUUCAGAAAACGACUGAUUUUAAGGAGGUUAAUUAUUUAUUGUGCAAUGGAAUAUGUAGAUUGGAAUUCGCAGAGUGGAUUUUUGACGUGGAAUUAACAUUUUCAAGUUUAGAUUUCUGGAUAACUUAAAAUGGUGAGAAAAUAAUGAAAUAAUAGUGAAUUGGUGUGUUUAGAAAUGAAUUAGUUGCACACUUGCACCACUUUCUUAAUCUUGUCUUAUGUCUGAAAUUUUUUGAAAAAAAAAAGAAAA